UACGAAGGGUGCAAGCGUUACUCGGAAUUACUGGGCGUAAAGCGUGCGUAGGUGGUUUGUUAAGUCUGUUGUGAAAGCCCCGGGCUCAACCUGGGAAUGGCAAUGGAUACUGGCAAGCUAGAGUGCGGUAGAGGGUAGUGGAAUUCCCGGUGUAGCGGUGAAAUGCGUAGAGAUCGAGAGGAACACCUGCGGCGAAGGCGGGUUGCUGGGCUGACACUGACGCUGAAGUGCGAAAGCUAGGGGAGCGAACGGG
rnacentral:rRNA from 1 species